rnacentral:rRNA from 1 species
GCCAGCAGCCGCGGUAAUACGGAGGAUCCGAGCGUUAUCCGGAUUUAUUGGGUUUAAAGGGUGCGUAGGCGGCAUCUCAAGUCUGUGGUGAAAUGUCAGGGCUCAACCUUGGCACUGCCAUGGAAACUGGGGGGCUAGAGUGCGUUUGGGGUGCAUGGAAUGUGUGGUGUAGCGGUGAAAUGCAUAGAUAUCACACAGAACGCCGAUCGCGAAGGCAGUGCACCAAGCCGCGACUGACGCUGAGCACGAAAGUGCGGGGAUCGAACAGGAUUAGAUACCCUGGUAGUCCGCACAGUAAACGAUGGAUGCUCGCCGUCCGCGAUAUACAGUGGGUGGCCAAGCGAAAGCGAUAAGCAUCCCACCUGGGGAGUACGCCGGCAACGGUGAAACUCAAAGGAAUUGACGGGGGCCCGCACAAAGCGGAGGAACAUGUGGUUUAAUUCGAUGAUACGCGAGGAACCUUACCCGGGCUUAAAUACAGGAGACUGGCCGUGAAAGCGGUCUUCCAGCAAUGGCUCCUGUGUAGGUGCUGCAUGGUUGUCGUCAGCUCGUGCCGUGAGGUGUCGGCUUAAGUGCCAUAACGAGCGCAACCCCUGUCCGUAGUUGCCAGCAUUAAGAUGGGGACUCUACGGAGACUGCCACCGCAAGGUGCGAGGAAGGCGGGGAUGACGUCAAAUCAGCACGGCCCUUACGUCCGGGGCGACACGCGUGUUACAAUGGGGGGUACAGAGGGAAGCGACGCGGCGACGCGGAGCGAAUCUCGGAAAGCCCCUCUCAGUUCGGAUCGGAGUCUGCAACUCGACUCCGUGAAGCUGGAUUCGCUAGUAAUCGCGCAUCAGCCAUGGCGCGGUGAAUACGUUCCCGGGCCUUGUACACACCGCCCGU